AACGAACGCUGGCGGCAGGCUUAACACAUGCAAGUCGAACGCCCCGCAAGGGGAGUGGCAGACGGGUGAGUAACGCGUGGGAAUCUACCCAGUUCUACAGAACAACUGAGGGAAACUUCAGCUAAUACCGUAUACGCCCUACGGGGGAAAGAUUUAUCGGAAUUGGAUGAGCCCGCGUUGGAUUAGCUAGUUGGUGAGGUAACGGCUCACCAAGGCGACGAUCCAUAGCUGGUCUGAGAGGAUGAUCAGCCACACUGGGACUGAGACACGGCCCAGACUCCUACGGGAGGCAGCAGUGGCGAAUAUUGGACAAUGGGCGCAAGCCUGAUCCAGCCAUGCCGCGUGAGUGAUGAAGGCCUUAGGGUUGUAAAGCUCUUUCAGUGGGGACGAUAAUGACGGUACCCACAGAAGAAGCCCCGGCUAACUUCGUGCCAGCCGCCGCAGUAACAC
rnacentral:rRNA from 1 species